rnacentral:rRNA from 1 species
UGGGGAAUAUUGCACAAUGGGCGAAAGCCUGAUGCAGCAACGCCGCGUGCGGGAAGAAGGCCUUAGGGUUGUAAACCGCUUUCAGCAGGGAAGAAAAUGACGGUACCUGCAGAAGAAGGUGCGGCCAACUACGUGCCAGCAGCCGCGGUGACACGUAGGCACCAAGCGUUGUCCGGAUUUAUUGGGCGUAAAGAGCUCGUAGGCGGUUCAGUAAGUCGGGUGUGAAAACUCUGGGCUCAACCCAGAGACGCCACCCGAUACUGCUGUGACUUGAGUACGGUAGGGGAGUGGGGAAUUCCUGGUGUAGCGGUGAAAUGCGCAGAUAUCAGGAGGAACACCAGUGGCGAAGGCGCCACUCUGGGCCGUAACUGACGCUGAGGAGCGAAAGCGUGGGUAGCAAACA